UUUAUACUUCUUUCGUCCAUAAUUACUUGUUGGAGAAAUUGAUGUAUCUAGAUGUAUUUUAGUUUUGGAUACAUUCAUUUUUAUCAUUUUUUUGCGACAAGUAAUUCCGGAAGGGGGGAGUAUCUG
rnacentral:pre_miRNA from 1 species